AUGUUGCAAAAUACAAAGCUGACAAGUGGCAAUGCAUGUCCAUCCUUGACGCUCCAGGUUGUCUACAGUCGGGCGCCGUUUGUGUACUGCCAACUACAUGAAGAAUUUGUGUCGAGGCGGGGCCUUAGAGUUCCAAAUCGUGUCGGCACAAGCGCAGCGGUGGUUGGAGGCAAAGAACACAUUGUAGGUGCUCCUGACGGAGAAUGUCUUGUCUCCCUUGUGUACCAUACUGUUGUGCCCCGAAAGUUAUUUGAGAAAUUGAUCUCGGAGACCAUAUCCCACAGCUUGAGAAAUUCUGCAAUCGCCAGCUGCAAAAGACUACCCGGAUGUCAAGAACCCAACUACUAG
rnacentral:rRNA from 1 species